UACGGAGGGAGCAAGCGGUGUUAGGGCUCAUUGGGCGUAAAGAGCGGGUCGGCGGUCCGGUAAGUCGGGUGUGAAAACCCCGGGCUCAACCCGGGAAGUGCAUUCGAAACUGCCGGACUUGAGUACGGGAGGGGGAAGUGGCAUUCCUGGUGUAGGGGUGAAAUCCGUAGAUGUCAGGAGGAACACCGGUGGCGAAGGCGACUUCCUGGACCGACACUGACGCUGAGUCGCGAAAGCGUGGGGAGCACACAGG
rnacentral:rRNA from 1 species